rnacentral:pre_miRNA from 1 species
CCCUCACUCAAUCUGGGUGUGAUAAAACAUUACUCUAUGGUCACAACCUCCUUGAGUGGGCGC